GACAGCGUGCCAGAGUGGUUAAUGGGUAUGACUCGAAUUGGAACGAUAUCAUAUGACUUCGGUGUAUGUCCUAAACUUAUCUCAGUCUAAGAAAUUAAUUUAAUUAACAAAUUGUAGCGCACAGGUUCGAAUCCUGUCGCUGUCG